rnacentral:rRNA from 1 species
GACGAACGCUGGCGGCGUGCUUAACACAUGCAAGUCGAACGGAGUGGCGAACGGGUGAGUAACACGUGGGUGAUCUGCCUUGCACUUCGGGAUAAGCUUGGGAAACUGGGUCUAAUACCGGAUAGUGCAAGAUGAGCUCGCGGCCUAUCAGCUUGUUGGUGGGGGAAUGGCCUACCAAGGCGUCGACGGGUAGCCGGCCUGAGAGGGGGUACGGCCACAUGGGUACUACGAUACGGACCAGGCUCCGACGGGGGGCAACGGUGGGGAAUACUGCACAGUGGGCGGGAGCCUGAUGCAGAGACGCCGGGUGGGGGAUGAAGGCCUUCGGGUUGUAAACUCCUUUCGACAGGGACGCGGUACCUGUAUAAGAAGCACCGGCUAACUACGUGCCAGCAGCCGCGGUAAUAC